rnacentral:rRNA from 1 species
UCGGGAAUUUUGCCCAAUGGACGAAAGUCUGAGGCAGCAACUCCGCGUGAGGGAUGACGGCCUUCGGGUUGUAAACCUCUUUUCUCAGGGAAGAUACAAGACGGUACCUGAGGAAUAAGCCACGGCUAACUACGUGCCAGCAGCCGCGGUAAUACGUAGGUGGCGAGCGUUGUCCGGAUUUACUGGGCGUAAAGAGCGCGCAGGCGGCUGAUCAAGUCCGAUGUGAAAGCUCCCGGCUUAACUGGGAAAUUGCAUCGGAAACUGAUCGGCUUGAAGGUGGGAGAGGGUAGCGGAAUUCCCGGUGUAGUGGUGAAAUGCGUAGAUAUCGGGAGGAACACCAGUGGCGAAGGCGGCUACCUGGCCCAUUCUUGACGCUGAGGCGCGAAAGCUAGGGGAGCAAACGG